rnacentral:rRNA from 1 species
UACAGAGGUGCUCAAGCGUUGUUCGGAUUCAUUGGGCGUAAAGGGUGCGUAGGCGGCGCGGUAAGUCGGGUGUGAAAUCUCGGAGCUUAACUCCGAAACUGCAUUCGAUACUGCCGUGCUUGAGGACUGGAGAGGAGACUGGAAUUUACGGUGUAGCGGUGAAAUGCGUAGAUAUCGUAAGGAAGACCAGUGGCGAAGGCGG